GCCCCGGUAGCUUAGUCGGUGGAGCGCAUGGCUGUUAACCAUGAGGUCGGCAGUUCGAGUCUGCCCCGGGGCG
rnacentral:tRNA from 1 species